rnacentral:ncRNA from 1 species
AUCGAUGCUAAGACAGGGAAGAGUACAAUGGCGAUUUGCCUUUUAGAGAGGAAAACCAGCAGCUGAAAGGUUAUCCAGGCAAAACUGUUGGAAGGUCGCCCUAGAGCAUCUUUUGCGAAAGGCUGCAGCCAAGUAGUAAAAGACGGGAAAUCCGUUAUCUGUUUAAGUGUCAAUCUCUAUAAGAAUGUCUUUCCCUGAUUUUCUUUAGUGAUUGAAAAAAAGGUGGUACCGCGAAGCAAACUCCAUUCGUCCUUUUA